rnacentral:rRNA from 1 species
GAUGAACGCUGGCGGCGUGCCUAAUACAUGCAAGUCGAGCGAAUGGAUUGAGAGCUUGCUCUUAUGAAGUUAGCGGCGGACGGGUGAGUAACACGUGGGUAACCUGCCCAUAAGACUGGGAUAACUACGGGAAACCGGGGCUAAUACCGGAUAACAUUUUGAAACGCAUGGUUCGAAAUUGAAAGGCGGCUUCGGCUGUCACUUAGGGAUGGACCCGCGUCGCAUUAGCUAGUUGGUGAGGUAACGGCUCACCAAGGCAACGAUGCGUAGCCGACCUGAGAGGGUGAUCGGCCACACUGGGACUGAGACACGGCCCAGACUCCUACGGGAGGCAGCAGUAGGGAAUCUUCCGCAAUGGACGAAAGUCUGACGGAGCAACGCCGCGUGAGUGAUGAAGGCUUUCGGGUCGUAAAACUCUGUUGUUAGGGAAGAACAAGUGCUAGUUGAAUAAGCUGGCACCUUGACGGUACCUAACCAGAAAGCCACGGCUAACUACGUGCCAGCCGCCGCAGUAA